rnacentral:misc_RNA from 1 species
AGGGAUCAUUACAGAGUUGCAAAACUCCCAAACCAUUGUGAACGUUACCCGUAACCGUUGCUUCGGCGGGCGGCCCCCCGGGGCCGCAGCCCUCACAGGCGCCCGCCGGACGACAAAUAACUCUUGUUCUUUACUGGCCUCUCUGAGUAUUUAUACAAAUAAGUUAAAACUUUCAACAACGGAUCUCUUGGUUCUGGCAUCGAUGAAGAACGCAGCGAAAUGCGAUAAGUAAUGUGAAUUGCAGAAUUCAGUGAAUCAUCGAAUCUUUGAACGCACAUUGCGCCCGCUAGUAUUCUGGCGGGCAUGCCUGUUCGAGCGUCAUUUCAACCAUCAAGCCCCCGGGCUUGCGUUGGGGCCCUGCGGCUGCCGCAGGCCCUGAAAAACAGUGGCGGGCUCGCUGUCACACCGAGCGUAGUAUUGUAUCUCGCUUUGGCCGUGCGGCGGGUGCCAGCCGUUAAACACCCCCCUUCCACAAGGUUGACCUCGGAUCUGGUAGGAAUACCCGCUGAACUUAA